AACAAAUUUCAAUAUCAAAAAGUUAGAAGGAGAUUGCGGAGCUUAGAAGUAUUUGUUCAGCUGGAAAUAGCGCCUCAAUGCAUCAACCAAAUAAAAAGAUCCGGAGACUUCAAACAACUGAAUGUGAAGGAUUGAAGUGUUUCGGUACGCAAUCACGGAGUGGCAUGGUCAUCCAAAGGACAUCCAUUUAUGAACAUGGAAUUUCAUCGAUCAGUAUUCUGUUACACGUACAAAUGUUGGCUGAACGAGGGAUGCAGCGGUAACUUUCUAUCGUGAUGCUUGAGUCGGAAAGUCCUUGUGCGGAAAGACCGUAGAUUAUUUAAAAUUAAGCAGUUUCUGCGCCGCAAGAUUGUCUGGAUUUGGUUGUUAGUUGUGAGUGUAUUCCUUCUUAAUUACUUGAAAAUGUGUUCCGUAUUAGGAUAGCCAGGAAAGGGAAGACUUUCUACGCUACGCGGACAGAGAAUUUAAAUAAUUUAUAUUACAGUGAAUAUAAAUGA